AGCUGCAGUCGAGAUCUUUCGCAUGGGCGAAGCCUGACGAUGCGACGCCGCGUGAGYGAUGAAGGCYUUCGGGUUGUAAAGCUCUUUCGCUUGGGAACAAGAGAGGUUAGCGAAUAACUGRYCCAUUUGAGGGUACYRGGUAAAGAAGCACCGGCUAACUC
rnacentral:rRNA from 1 species